rnacentral:rRNA from 1 species
GGCGGACGGGUGAGUAAUGCAUCGGAACGUGCCCAGGAGUGGGGGAUAACGUAGCGAAAGUUACGCUAAUACCGCAUACGUACUGAGGUAGAAAGCGGGGGAUCGAAAGACCUCGCGCUCAUGGAGCGGCCGAUGUCGGAUUAGCUAGUUGGUGAGGUAAAAGCUCACCAAGGCGACGAUCCGUAGCUGGUCUGAGAGGACGACCAGCCACACUGGGACUGAGACACGGCCCAGACUCCUACGGGAGGCAGCAGUGGGGAAUCUUGGACAAUGGGGGAAACCCUGAUCCAGCAAUGCCGCGUGUGGGAUGAAGGCCCUCGGGUUGUAAACCACCUUUGGCAGGAAAGAAAUCGCCUGUGCUAAUACCAUGGGCGGAUGACGGUACCUGCAGAAUAAGCACCGGCUAACUACGUGCCAGCAGCCGCGGUAAUACGUAGGGUGCGAGCGUUAAUCGGAAUUACUGGGCGUAAAGCGUGCGCAGGCGGUUUUGUAAGACAGAUGUGAAAUCCCCGGGCUUAACCUGGGAACUGCAUUUGUGACUGCAAGACUAGAGUGUGUCAGAGGGAGGUGGAAUUCCGCGUGUAGCAGUGAAAUGCGUAGAGAUGCGGAAGAACACCGAUGGCGAAGGCAGCCUCCUGGGAUAACACUGACGCUCAGGCACGAAAGC